rnacentral:rRNA from 1 species
GAUGAACGCUGGCGGCGUGCCUAAUACAUGCAAGUCGAGCGAACAGACGAGGAGCUUGCUCCUCUGACGUUAGCGGCGGACGGGUGAGUAACACGUGGAUAACCUACCUAUAAGACUGGGAUAACUUCGGGAAACCGGAGCUAAUACCGGAUAAUAUAUUGAACCGCAUGGUUCAAUAGUGAAAGACGGUUUUGCUGUCACUUAUAGAUGGAUCCGCGCCGCAUUAGCUAGUUGGUAAGGUAACGGCUUACCAAGGCGACGAUGCGUAGCCGACCUGAGAGGGUGAUCGGCCACCCUGGGACUGAGACACGGUCCAGACUCCUACGGGAGGCAGCAGUAGGGAAACUUCCGCAAUGGGCGAAAGCCUGACGGAGCAGCGCCGCGUGAGGGAUGAAGGUCUUCGGAUCGUAAAACUCUGUUAUUAGGGAAGAACAAAUGUGUAAGUAACUAUGCACGUCUUGACGGUACCUAAUCAGAAAGCCACGGCUAACUACGUG